GAAAAAUACAGACACAUGAAAUCAUCGUUUUGUCAAUAUUUGUCUUCAUUUAAGGACCAAUGACAUAGGCUAUUCUAAAACUUGAAACAACAUUAUGAAUGAAACAGAUACCAUACAAAAGGAUGCUGCUGUUGGUUCUCUAGUGACAGUUUUAUUUACGUCAUUAGCAGUAGCGUCGGUUUUAAUCGACGUCAUUUAUAUCAUUGUUUGCUUCAAGGCUCUUAAGAAAACAUUCCAUCAUCUUACAAUUUUAGUUUUGUUUUUCAGCGAUAUUACUUUGGGGAUUUCAUCAACAUUGUUUUCGUUAGGAACUUUAGUUACACAUGAACAUGUUGGCUCGUGUCUUCUACAAAUACAGAUUGUUGCUUUUGGCAUGCUAUCAAACUAUUGUUUAAUAUUUCUUCUGUGUUUGCAAAGGUACUUGGUUGUGAGUUCGUAUAACUUUAGAAUAGUUGACACAUUUGAUAAGAACAAAUACAAAUACAUAGGAGGAUCUCUGUGCGUUGUGCUAGUAAUUACGUUUUGUGGAACUGUAUUGACUCCCCAUGCCGAAUUCAUGCAAAUUUGUAGACCUCCUGUUGUAUAUGGGGAUAAUUUUUAUAUUUUUAUAACUGUCAUUUUUUUACCAAUAACUGUUGUCAUAUUUCUUUUAUUGAUAAUGUCAGUGAUCACUAGUUUUUGCAUUUGGCAGAUAUAUUUUAAAAGCACAGUUGCCCCUAUGCACGUUAUGAGAGAAAGGAAAAACAAUAUUUGCCAUGUGCAGACUUCUCCAAUUAUAAUUGGACAAGAUUCGGCGACUGCAUCCCAAAAUGUGUCUAUUGGAUCAAAGGGGAACACAAAUGAGGCAGAUGAUAUUUUAAUCAUGACCGUAGAUAGUAUAGAUAUUCAUCUAGAUACCUUGAGUGCGAAAUUGAACUGUGAUAAUACAGUA